rnacentral:rRNA from 1 species
GACAGAGGGUGCAAACGUUGUUCGGAAUUAUUGGGCGUAAAGCGCGUGUAGGCGGCGUGACAAGUCGGGUGUGAAAGCCCUCAGCUCAACUGAGGAAGUGCGCCCGAAACUGGGGGUGCUGGAGCGCGGGAGAGGAAAGCGGAAUUCCUGGUGGUAGCGGUGAAAUGCGUAGAUAUCAGGAGGAACACCGGCGGUGUAGACGGCUUCUGGACCGUAGCUGACGCUGAGACACGAAGCGUGGGUAGCAAACAGG